rnacentral:rRNA from 1 species
AUGCAGGAGAUGGACCGGUCGAGCGAGGAGAAUGUGAAGAUCGUCGAGAUGGACAGCGGCGAGCAGCCAGCGCGGCGCGGCGGGGCGAAGGGCGGCGACAGGCAGUUCUCCUCCAUCGAGUACCACCACGGCGGCAGGUGCUCGCCGGCGCCGUCGGCCAUGACAGAGCUGAGCCCGAGGGCGAGCAGCUGGCACGUGGAGGACCACCUGUCCUUCGGGACGGCGCACAGCAGCCCGCACUCCCACUCCCACAACGCGACGGCGGCCAUGGCGGAGCCAGCGGCGUCGGACUUGCCGUUCCCGAGCUACAUGAGCAACACCGAGUCGUCGAGGGCCAAGGCGCGGUCCCAGAGCGCGCCGAGGCAGCGCGCGGCCGCGGAGGCGCUGGAGCGGCAACCGAGCAGGAGGAAGGGGGCGGAGCACAGGAGCGUGCCGCGGGGCGCCAGGAUGCAGCGGUCGUCGUCGCAGCAGCAGGCCGGGUCGGCGCCGCGCCAGUCGCCCUUCUUCCACCGGCCGUGGUCGUCGUCGACGUCGGUGAGGCUGGACACGUCGACGGCGUCGCUCAAGGAUAGCGAGUGCGGGUCCACCACCAGCUCCGUGGUCACCGCGGCCACCACCGUGUCCACCGUCUACAGCCGGACCCGCUCGCUCGUCGGAUUCGAGGAGAGGAGCUCGGGCUCGAGGGGAUCCUCCCCUCGAUCCAGACCGGGCGCCGCCGUGCGGGGGUUUUCUGCAAAAAAAAAAUGCCACGUCGGCAGCUGA